GGAUAUCAAAGUGAAACAGUUCUCUAAAGACACAGGAGACAAUAAUACAAGAAACAACACUUCUGUAGCUUGUCAACUAUGUGUCUGUCUAUCCCUGUUCUCUCCUCUCUGCACAGGCCAUACAAACGCUUCACACCGCGUGGCCGCUGCCACUCUAACCUGGUGGUCCCAGCGCGCACGACCCACGUGGAGUUCCAGGUCUCCGGCAGCCUCUGGAACUGCCGGUCUGCGGCCAACAAGGCAGAUUUCAUCUCAGCCUAUGCUACCCUCCAGUCCUUCGACUUCUUGGCGCUGACGGAAACAUGGAUUACCACAGAAAACACUGCUACUCCUACUGCUCUCUCCUCGUCUGACCACAUGUUCUCGCAUACUCCGAGAGCAUCUGGUCAGCGGGGUGGUGGCACUGGAAUCCUCAUCUCUCCCAAGUGGACAUUCUCUCUUUCUCCCCUGACCCAUCUGUCUAUCUCCUCCUUUGAAUUCCAUGCUGUCACAGUCACUAGCCCAUUCAAGCUUAACAUCCUUAUCAUUUAUCGCCCUCCAGGUUCCCUUGGAGAGUUCAUCAAUGAGCUUGACGCCUUGAUAAGUUCCUUUCCUGAGGAUGGCUCACCCCUCACAAUUCUGGACCAUUUCCGGAGACCUUCUCCCCUACCUCACCUCGCUCAUCAACUCAUCCUUGACCGCUGGCAACGUCCCUUCCGUCUUCAAGAGAGCGAGAGUUGCACCCCUUCUCAAAAAACCUACACUCGAUCCCUCCGAUGUCAACAACUACAGACCAGUAUCCCUUCUUUCUUU
rnacentral:lncRNA from 1 species